UACAGAGGUCUCAAGCGUUGUUCGGAUUCAUUGGGCGUAAAGGGUGCGUAGGCGGCGCGGUAAGUCGGGUGUGAAAUCUCGGGGCUUAACUCCGAAACUGCAUUCGAUACUGCCGUGCUUGAGGACUGGAGAGGAGACUGGAAUUUACGGUGUAGCGGUGAAAUGCGUAGAUAUCAGGAGGAACACCGAUGGCGAAGGCGGGUCUCUGGGCCGAUACUGACGCUGAGGAGCGAAAGCGUGGGGAGCAAACGGG
rnacentral:rRNA from 1 species